rnacentral:rRNA from 1 species
UACGUAGGGGGCAAGCGUUGUCCGGAUUUAUUGGGCGUAAAGAGCUCGUAGGUGGUUCGGUAGGUCGGAUGUGAAAUCUCCAGGCUCAACCUGGAGGGGUCAUUCGAUACUGCCGUGACUAGAGUUCGGUAGGGGAGUGUGGAAUUCCUGGUGGAGCGGUGAAAUGCGCAGAUAUCAGGAGGAACACCCGUAGCGAAGGCGGCACUCUGGGCCGAUACUGACACUGAGGAGCGAAAGCGUGGGGAGCGAACAGG